GCCUCUGUAGCGCAGUGGUUAACGCGUUCGGCUGUUAACCGAAAGGUCGAGAGUUCGAGUCUCUCCAGAGGCG
rnacentral:tRNA from 2 species